GGGAUAAAUCAACUGUCAAGUG
rnacentral:miRNA from 1 species